AGGGAUCAUUACAGAGUUGAAAAACUCCCAAACCACUGUGAACAUACCCGUACCCGUUGCUUCGGCGGGCGGCCCCAGGGAGGGGCCGCAGCCUCCAUUGCGGAGGCGCCCGCCGGAGGACACCAAAACAUACCUAUAUUUUUGUGGCCCUUCUGAGCGAUAGCGCAAAUAAUUAAAACUUUCAACAACGGAUCUCUUGGUUCUGGCAUCGAUGAAGAACGCAGCGAAAUGCGAUAAGUAAUGUGAAUUGCAGACUUCAGUGAAUCAUCGAAUCUUUGAACGCACAUUGCGCCCGCCAGCAUUCUGGCGGGCAUGCCUGUCCGAGCGUCAUUUCAACCCUCAAGCUCUGCUUGGUGUUGGGGCACUACGGUUGACGUAGGCCCUGAAAAUUAGUGGCGGGCUCGCUGUGGGUCCGGGCGUAGUAGCGAUAUCUCGCCUGCGGCCCCCAGCAAGCUCCAGCCGUUAAACCCCCCAAAUUACAGAAGGUUGACCUCGGAUCAGGUAGGACUACCCGCUGAACUUAA
rnacentral:rRNA from 1 species